GAUGAACGCUAGCUACAGGCUUAACACAUGCAAGUCGAACGGAGAAUAUACGCUUCAGAAGCUUCGGCAGAUGAUUGUAUAUUCUUAGUGGCGGACGGGUGAGUAACGCGUGGGCAACCUGCCUCAUACUGGGGGAUAACAGUUAGAAAUGACUGCUAAUACCGCAUAAGACCACAGUCUCGCAUGAGACAGGGGUAAAAACUCCGGUGGCAUACGAUGGACCCGCGUCUGAUUAGAUAGUUGGUGAGGUAACGGCCCACCAAGUCAACGAUCAGUAGCCGGCCUGAGAGGGUGAACGGCCACAUUGGGACUGAGACACGGCCCAAACUCC
rnacentral:rRNA from 1 species